GAUGAAGAACGCAGCGAAAUGCGAUAAGUAAUGUGAAUUGCAGAAUUCAGUGAAUCAUCGAAUCUUUGAACGCACAUUGCGCCCCUUGGUAUUCCGAGGGGCAUGCCCGUUCGAGCGUCAUUAUACCCCUCAAGCCUAGCUUGGUGUUGGGGCCUGCUGUUACCGGCAGCCCUUAAAAUCAGUGGCGGUGCCAUCUGGCUCUAAGCGUAGUAAUACUUCUCGCUACAGGGUCCCGGUGGAUGCUUGCCAUCAACCCCUAAUUUUCUAUGGUUGACCUCGGAUCGGGUAGGGAUACCCGCUGAACUUAAGCAUAUCAAUAAGCGGAUGA
rnacentral:misc_RNA from 1 species